UAGCCAGGAUUUGCUGACUGGAAGAUUGCUCUGAUGGAAGAUAAUUGUUUGUUCUUGUAUUUGUAGAUUGUCGAAGGCACAUGGGAUGCUUACCCAGACUCUGUUUGCCAAGGCCGCUUCAUGCUUGCUCAUUUUUGAAAAUACUAUAAUUUUUUAUUGAUCUGAUCUCAUUAGUGAUGGGUACAAGUGGCCUUUGCAUGCACUGAGCUUUCGUGCCCUUGUGGCAGUGUCUUAAUGAGUGCACAAAUGCAGGUCACUGAGCUACCUUUGGACUUUAGCAUGUGUCCAUUCAAUGGCCCAGGCAGCUGUGUUGGUUACAGUAGAAAGAGUUUUGAUCUGAGAAAAUGGCAUGAUUUGAUCUAAUCAAUACUUUCCAUAUUUAUUUUUUUUAAACAGAACUGUCUGGCAUAAGCUAACAUACAUUUGCAGUGUCAGCACUGACCAGAAUGUUAAGGUAAAUGGAUUUCUACACAGGAUGGAAGAUGACAUUAUGGAGCAUUUUCUGCAGACUAUCACUACUAAAGUCAAGGGAACACUGAAGGACCACUUCAAAAAGUGUGACAGUGGUUUUGACCACAUCCUUGAAUCCUUAAAGCAAAACUUUUUGACCUUUGGGAAGAAAAAAACUGAUAUAUAUGAGGCCCUUGUCAAGGCUGCCAAUGCCAUCAUUAUUACAGAAUACAUGCAGGCCCUCCUGACCACUCCCAGGAAACCAUCUGUUAUGCAGAGGAGGAGGAUUGUCAACAAGAUGGAAGAAGAUCAUAGGAUGAUGCAAGCCAUCUUUAAAGAGUGCUUAGGUCCUGCAGCUGGUUCUCUCAAGGAUCCCAUAAAAGCAAUUUUAGAGCUUGUUCAAACUUCUGAUCCUGAGGGGAUGAAAAUAGCACUUCUGCCCAUUCUAAAAGAAUUUCCAGACCUCAGGAAGGAACAUCUGAGUGCAGUGCUGGACAUGAAAGAUUCACUCAGCUGGGAAGACAGAGCUGCUCUCUUGAAGGCAUUUCAUGAUAAUUGCAGGGAAUUGGAAACAGAAGCAAACAUGCUCUUUGCAGAUAUAGAAGUGAAACCUAGCAAAUGUGGACUCUGUGGCUGCCUCUGCUGUUAGCAAAGCUGUUUUCUUGCCUUCCCUCAGGCCUGCUGGGAGAAACAUGAGGACUUGCUCUGUUGUGCCAGCAUCUGCAACCACAGCUCCUUGAAAGCUUCAUAUGCAGCUGGAUGCAUGGAGAAGCCUGUCAGCCAUGGAAGACAAAAUUCCUGCACUUUUGCAGGAAAACCAUGAGGCUCAAAUCCUAAUCUUAUAUGUAAAGUCCAGGAGGAAGAUAAAUAGGAUAUGGUCAAAAGACAUUUCUUCAAAAUUUCCUAGAGACUGCCAUUCAGCUGAGUCCUGGUGGUUAUUCCUGGGAUGGGGCAAGUGUGGAGGAGCAUUUCUCCUCACUGAAUUCCUCUGUUUCCGUCCCUUGUUCCAUGAAAUCUCUAAUGAAUCCAGGGACUGCUGCACCACAUGGUGUCCCAGCAUUGCAACCUCCCAAGGGAUU
rnacentral:lncRNA from 1 species